rnacentral:rRNA from 3 species
GGUCGAGUCGGCCUGCGCGGAAGAUGUAACGGGGCUAAACCAUGCACCGAAGCUGCGGCAGCGACACUGUGUGUUGUUGGGUAGGGGAGCGUUCUGUAAGCCUGUGAAGGUGUGUCGUGAGGCAUGCUGGAGGUAUCAGAAGUGCGAAUGCUGACAUAAGUAACGAUAAAGCGGGUGAAAAGCCCGCUCGCCGGAAGACCAAGGGUUCCUGUCCAACGUUAAUCGGGGCAGGGUGAGUCGACCCCUAAGGCGAGGCCGAAAGGCGUAGUCGAUGGGAAACGGGUUAAUAUUCCCGUACUUGGUGUUACUGCGAAGGGGGGACGGAGAAGGCUAUGUUGGCCGGGCGACGGUUGUCCCGGUUUAAGCGUGUAGGUGUGUGUUCCAGGUAAAUCCGGUUCACUUUAACACUGAGGCGUGACGACGAGGCACUACGGUGCUGAAGCAACAAAUGCCCUGCUUCCAGGAAAAGCCUCUAAGCAUCAGGUAACAUCAAAUCGUACCCCAAACCGACACAGGUGGUCAGGUAGAGAAUACCAAGGCGCUUGAGAGAACUCGGGUGAAGGAACUAGGCAAAAUGGUGCCGUAACUUCGGGAGAAGGCACGCUGACACGUAGGUGAAGUGAUUUACUCAUGGAGCUGAAGUCAGUCGAAGAUACCAGCUGGCUGCAACUGUUUAUUAAAAACACAGCACUGUGCAAACACGAAAGUGGACGUAUACGGUGUGACGCCUGCCCGGUGCCGGAAGGUUAAUUGAUGGGGUCAGCGCAAGCGAAGCUCCUGAUCGAAGCCCCGGUAAACGGCGGCCGUAACUAUAACGGUCCUAAGGUAGCGAAAUUCCUUGUCGGGUAAGUUCCGACCUGCACGAAUGGCGUAAUGAUGGCCAGGCUGUCUCCACCCGAGACUCAGUGAAAUUGAACUCGCUGUGAAGAUGCAGUGUACCCGCGGCAAGACGGAAAGACCCCGUGAACCUUUACUAUAGCUUGACACUGAACAUUGAGCCUUGAUGUGUAGGAUAGGUGGGAGGCUUUGAAGUGUGGACGCCAGUCUGCAUGGAGCCGACCUUGAAAUACCACCCUUUAAUGUUUGAUGUUCUAACGUGGACCCGUUACCCGGGUUGCGGACAGUGUCUGGUGGGUAGUUUGACUGGGGCGGUCUCCUCCUAAAGAGUAACGGAGGAGCACGAAGGUUGGCUAAUCCUGGUCGGACAUCAGGAGGUUAGUGCAAUGGCAUAAGCCAGCUUGACUGCGAGCGUGACGGCGCGAGCAGGUGCGAAAGCAGGUCAUAGUGAUCCGGUGGUUCUGAAUGGAAGGGCCAUCGCUCAACGGAUAAAAGGUACUCCGGGGAUAACAGGCUGAUACCGCCCAAGAGUUCAUAUCGACGGCGGUGUUUGGCACCUCGAUGUCGGCUCAUCACAUCCUGGGGCUGAAGUAGGUCCCAAGGGUAUGGCUGUUCGCCAUUUAAAGUGGUACGCGAGCUGGGUUUAGAACGUCGUGAGACAGUUCGGUCCCUAUCUGCCGUGGGCGCUGGAGAACUGAGGGGGGCUGCUCCUAGUACGAGAGGACCGGAGUGGACGCAUCACUGGUGUUCGGGUUGUCAUGCCAAUGGCACUGCCCGGUAGCUAAAUGCGGAAGAGAUAAGUGCUGAAAGCAUCUAAGCACGAAACUUGCCCCGA